GAACGGCGCGGCUCAGGGCGCCCCCUUUCGUCUAGGCGGAGUCACAGCCCCUCAGGAUGGGGUUCCCGCCGGCGCAGCUACCUAGGUUGUCCAGCCACCUGGCCUAGAAGACGAGCAGGCGCGGCUGAAACCUGAGAAACUCCCCUGACCGACGCACUGCCCCUUGUCCACUGUUAAAGAGCCCGAGAAACACAGAGUGUGAGUCCCGUCUGGUAGCGCAGAGCGGAGGUAGAGGAGGUGAUUCCUCCCUCCUUGAUCACCGGGUCCAGACUCGAGAAUCGAGCAUCGAGCAUCGAGCAUCGAGCACCGCUCUUCAGGCACCGGACGAGUUCGGAGUCACCACGUAACCUUUCGGAAGACAUUGAAAAGGCCGUGCAACUCUACAAUCCAGCCUCGCAGAGAGGACCGCGCCGCUGGAAGGGCGACGGACGGCCACGUUGGCGCCUGGGCGCUGGGAAGCGGCAGGCGUGGAGGCUGCUUCAGCGAUCUCGGGUUGCAGCCCAAAGUCAGAACCGGGAAAAGUGAAAGAGUGAGGGUGUUGCAAUCGUUGAUGUGUUGUAUUCACAAACACGAAUUAAGACAUCUCAGAAACUAUCAGAGAGAGAAUAAAGAAGCAGUCUUUAAACUGCUGAGAGAGAGAAAACCAUCUCCAUCAGAGCAAGACCCGAGCCAAGAAGGGACAUGAUUGUUGCAAUCUAACUCAGUCCUCCUUUGUCAGCUCCAGGAGAAAUUUCAGCUUUUGGUCACCUGGUCAGUUCCUUAUUUGUUCCUUCUGGCUCCUAUCUUCUAAGAUGAAAGACCUUGUACUUGGGUCUAAGUGUGUCCCCCGAAGUUCACGUGCAGCCAUGCACUCCUUCCCAACUCUUGCCUGCCUCGGAUCCAGGAGCUUUCUGAGAAAAGCUACAUGUCUAACUUGGUUUGUUCGCAGUUAUCUUUGCAGCUAAUGGCCACCCACAGAGUUGGAUGUGAAACAGUGCAAAGGAUUUGUCUGUACACUGGAGACUGAAAGAUAGAGUCAAAGGUCUGGAGCUCACUGCGGAGUCUGUAUCAGGAGGCCAGUGUGUCAGUGACGGAGGGCUGAAAGUCUAUGCCAGAAGCUGAAGAGUUUGCAUUGGAUGCCAGGAGAUGAUGUCCAAGAUGAAGGCAAAGACUGGAGCUUCUCCAAAGAAACAGAAGCAGAUCCACCCUUCUUCAUUUCCCCUUUAUACCGUCUAGGCAACAAACCACCCUAGGGUGGGUCUUCCAUGUCUUAGAGUGUGGAAUUGCUGAGCCAAUUUAGUUGAGCUUGUCUUACUGAGGUUGACACAAUCAAUCAACCAUCACAGGUUCCAAGAAUUGAAAGAAGUAUCCUGCUAAAGAACAUCAUAAGAACUGUGGAGAAUUUUUAAAACUGAAGUUGAAGGAAAUGUAAAGGCAGGAUUGUGAAUGACCUUAAGCUGUUUCAAUCAAUUUUCAAUUACUAAAUAAAAAUAGAGACUAAUAAAAACCAAAU